ensembl:snRNA U6 U6 spliceosomal RNA
AUGUUAGUUUCAACAGCAAAUAUAUUAAAAUCAGAACAUACAGAGAAGAUUAGCAUGGCCCCUGCACAAGAAUGAUACACAAAUUUGUGAAAUAAUAGAUUCACCCUUUG